rnacentral:rRNA from 1 species
ACAUGCCUACAACAUAGUGUUAAUGCAUUGGAUUCCAUUAGAACUCCACAGUUAAGCACGCUCGGGCUAGAGUAGUACUGGGAUGGGUGACCACCCUGGAAUUCCUAGUAUUUUACAUGCC